UACGGAGGGGGCUAGCGUUGUUCGGAAUUACUGGGCGUAAAGCGCGUGUAGGCUGCUUCGAAAGUCGGAUGUGAAAGCCCUGGGCUCAACCUAGGAAGUGCACUCGAAACUUCGAAGCUGGAGUCCUGGAGAGGAAGGCGGAAUUCUCGGUGUAGAGGUGAAAUUCGUAGAUAUCGAGAGGAACACCGGUGGCGAAGGCGGCCUUCUGGACAGUGACUGACGCUGAGACGCGAAAGCGUGGGGAGCAAACAGG
rnacentral:rRNA from 1 species